GAUGAACGCUGGCGGCGUGCCUAAUACAUGCAAGUCGAGCGAACAGACGAGGAGCUUGCUCCUCUGACGUUAGCGGCGGACGGGUGAGUAACACGUGGAUAACCUACCUAUAAGACUGGGAUAACUUCGGGAAACCGGAGCUAAUACCGGAUAAUAUAUUGAACCGCAUGGUUCAAUAGUGAAAGACGGUUUUGCUGUCACUUAUAGAUGGAUCCGCGCCGCAUUAGCUAGUUGGUAAGGUAACGGCUUACCAAGGCGACGAUGCGUAGCCGACCUGAGAGGGGGAUCGGCCACACUGGAACUGAGACACGGUCCAGGCUCCUACGGGAGGCAGCAGUAGGGAAUCUUCCGCAAUGGGCGAAAGCCUGACGGAGCAACGCCGCGUGAGUGAUGAAGGUCUGCGGAUCGUAAAACUCUGUUAUUAGGGAAGAACAAAUGUGUAAGUAACUAUGCACGUCUUGACGGUACCUAAUCAGAAAGCCACGGCUAACUACGG
rnacentral:rRNA from 1 species